rnacentral:piRNA from 1 species
UGGAGCUUAACAUAAAUGCAUGCAUUGAU